UAUUAUAUUAGAUUCUGAACGAAGUGAUAAAUGUACUGAUUUUACAAUGAUGUGUGUUUAUUUUUGUUUUUUUUUGUUUUUGUGUCUGUGAACUGCAUAACUUGUCGAAAUAAUGCUUCAAUUUCAAACUUUGGGAGUGGUUUUUGAUGGCAAAGUGAAUAUCCUCAGUACAUUGUACAGAUUAUCCAUGGAUGCCAAUCCACCCUAUUCCGUGGAAAAUCGAGAGUACCUAAACUAUUUCAAUAUUUCAAGUAUUACUUAAAUUAAAAAAAAUGCGGCUGAUAUAAUUUCAAGAAAAGAAAAUGAGUAUUUUCUGCACAAGAUAAAAUGUUAACUAUCUAAAAAAUAAAAUUGUAUAAUAAUUGAUUUUAGAUAUUUUGUUCAUAUGAAUAAAAAUAAUUUAAAGUUGAAAUUGAGUUGUUAAAUUAUUUAAAUAUUAACUUCUUAUUUUUAUGAAUAGUUAAAAAAUAUCUCUAAUUGAAGUACUAAAAAUUAUUAUUAUUUAAGUUAUAAUUAAAUUUUACUUAAACAAAAGUAAAAACAUAAACAUUUUUGUGAAAUGAUUUUGUUGU